GGGGGCGAUAGGUUUCGACAGAGAUAGGAGAGGUAAAAACAGCGAGUCGAGGUUCCAUAUCCUCGUAAAACUAUGGAAAAACAAUAAACGCUAACAAUAGAGAAUUAGCACUCGCAGCCUAAUUGGGUUGCGCAUCCAUCAAGGUCUUUUGUCUACGAGACUUUUAUGGGUGUAACAUAAAGUAGACUAUCUUUUACCUUGUUGCCCUAAAAGGUAAAAGAGAAAGUUAAGGGCUGGCUCAAUUUACAUCCUGUCUAUGGGAGGUAAAAAGAGCGAGAAUGAAAUCAUAGACUACACUCGUAGCGGUUUAUACCGAAAUAUC
rnacentral:tmRNA from 1 species